CGGAGCAGUGGCCGAGCGGCUUAAGGCGACGGUCUUGAAAACCGUUGUACCGAAAGGUACCGGGGGUUCGAAUCCCUCCUGCUCCGU
rnacentral:tRNA from 1 species